AUUGAACGCUAGCGGGAUGCCUUACACAUGCAAGUCGAACGGAGUGGCGAACGGGUGAGUAAUGUAUCGGAACGUGCCCAGUAGCGGGGGAUAAAUACGCGAAAGCGUAGCUAAUACCGCAUACGCUUAGAGCGGACGAUCUCGGAUUAGCUAGUUGGAGGGGUAAGGGCUCACAAAGGCGACGCUCCGUAGCUGGUUUGAGAGGACGACCAGCCCCACUGGGACUGAGACACGGCCCAGACGCCUACGGGAGGCAGCAGUGGGGAAUUUUGGACAAUGGGGGAAACCCUGACCCAGCCAUCCCGCGUGUGCGAUGAAGGCCUUCGGGUUGUAAAGCACUUUUGUCAGGAAAGCGGUACCUGCAGAAUAAGCACCGGCUAACUACGUGCCAGCAGCCGCGGUAAUUC
rnacentral:rRNA from 1 species